CGGCCGCCCCCCGCGUCCCCUCCCCGCCAGCCGUGACCUUGGCAUCUGCCGGCCGCGGGGACGGCGCCGGGGACAGCCGCCGUGGGAUGCGUUAGGCGGCGGAUCGCACGGGAAUAUUCUCCUGGGAGGAGGAGAGCGGCAGCCUCCUCCCGCGGCCGGGGAGCGGCAGGAGAAGCGGAUUUAAAGAGCAUCUUCGCCCCUUUGUUGGAUGAGAAGGACGGGCGAGGAGCGGCAGGAUGAGCACUAGCACAGUUCCCUACCAGCAGAACCCCUACAACCCUGGGAGCAGCUCCUCUGCCAUCCAGUGCUACCGCUGCGGGGACACCUGCAAGGGCGAGGUCGUGCGUGUGCAGAGCAACCACUUCCACAUCCGCUGCUUCACCUGCCAAGUGUGCGGCUGCGACCUGGCCCAGUCGGGUUUCUUCUUCAAGAACCAGGAGUACAUCUGCACCCACGACUACCAGCAGCUCUACGGGACCCGCUGUGACAGCUGCGGGGACUUCAUCACCGGCGAGGUCAUCUCUGCCCUGGGCAGGACCUACCACCCCAAGUGCUUUGUCUGCAGCACCUGCAGGAAGCCGUUCCCCAUCGGGGACAAGGUGACGUUCAGCGGGAAGGACUGCGUCUGCCAGAACUGCUCCCACGCCCUCCUCAGCACCAAGCCCAUCAAGAUCCACGGGCCCAGCCACUGCGCCGGCUGCAAGGAGGAGAUCAAGCAGGGCCAGUCGCUGCUGGCCCUGGAGAAGCAGUGGCACGUCAGCUGCUUCAAGUGCCAAACGUGCGGGGUCAUCCUCACCGGCGAGUACAUCAGCAAGGAUGGCAUCCCGUACUGCGAGUCCGACUACCACGCCCAGUUCGGCAUCAAGUGCGAGACCUGUGACCGCUACAUCAGCGGCCGCGUCCUGGAGGCAGGAGGGAAGCACUACCACCCCACCUGUGCCAGAUGUGUGCGCUGCCACCAGAUGUUCACAGAGGGAGAGGAGAUGUACCUGACAGGCUCUGAGGUGUGGCACCCCAUCUGCAAGCAGGCAGCCAGAGCAGAGAAGAAGCUGAAGCACAGAAGGACGUCAGAAACCUCCAUCUCGCCCCCUGGCUCCAGCAUUGGCUCCCCAAACCGUGUCAUCUGUGACAUCUACGAGAGCUUUGACCCGAGGCAGAGGCGAGCCUCCAGCCCUGGCUACAUCGACUCCCCCACCUACAGCCGCCAGGGCAUGUCCCCCACCAUCCCCAGGUCCCCCCACCACUUCUACCGCUCAGGCACCGAGAGCGGGCGCAGCUCCCCCUACUAUAGCCAGUUAGAUGUGAGGUCCUCCACUCCAACCUCAUACCAAGCGCCCAAGCAUUUCCACAUCCCAGCUGCUGGCGAGAGCAACAUCUACAGGAAGCCGCCCAUCUACAAGCGGCACGACACCCCCUCUGCAGCCACGAAGAGCAAAACCAGCGAGGACAUUGCUCAGUCAUCCAAGUACAGCCCUGCCUACUCCCCUGACCCCUACUACCACUCCGAGUCAGAGUACUGGUCCUUCCAGGGCUCACCCAAAGCUCCCCGGGCCCGGAGGUUCUCCUCAGGUGGUGAGGAGGAUGGCUAUGACCGGGGCAUGCACAAGAUCCAGAGUGGCAUUGGGAGGCUGAUCCUGAGGGAGGAGAUGAAGGCUCGCUCCCACUCCUACGCAGACCCCUGGACCCCCCCUCGCAGCUCGGCCAGCAGCAGGGAGGCCCUGCACACAGCGGGCUACGAGGGCUCCCUCAAUGGCUCUCCCCGCACCCAUUACCUGGCUGACAGCGAUCCCCUCAUUUCCAAGUCAGCCUCCCUUCCUGCCUACAGGAGGAACGGGCUGCACAGGCCUCCUAGCGCGGAGCUGUUCCACUACGACAGCACCAACGCCGUCAACUGGGGCAUGCGAGAGUACAAGGUAAGACCCUUCUGCUGCAAGGAGAGGCCACCAGCCAGAGCCCCAGGGAUGUGUCCGUGUGUCCCCAGGCUCUUCAGAGGGAAGCUCAGCCCUCUGCAUUUGCUCUGCUCCAUCCUGGACGUGACAGCCCCAUCCCAGGACUGUGGAGCUCACAGCAGAGCCCCUCCCCUCCUGCAGGUCCCAGGUGCUGCUGAGCACUAUUGUCCCCUGGGCGAGGAGCAGAGCAGGGGGUUGUGCUGGUGGUUUCCUCUCACACCCCUGCCUGGGUCAUUCCUGCUUUUGCAGAGUGAGCAGGUUGUCCCAGAGCCACCCUGAGAGCAGCUCCCACCUUUCCCUGUCCCAUCCAAGCCCUGGAGGCAGCUGUGCCACCCAAACCCUGCUAAAUACAGCAGGAGGCCUUGCCCUCAUUCCCAAGGGUGCCCCAAGUGUCUCGUGGCUGCCCCACGGUGUCCCUGUCCCUGUGCAGAUUUACCCCUACGAGCUGCUCCUGGUGAAGACGAGGGGGAGGAACCAGCUGCCCAAAGACGUGGACAGGACUCGGUUAGAGAGGCACCUGUCCCAGGAGGAAUUCUACCAGAUCUUUGGCAUGACCAUGGCCGAGUUCGACCGCCUGGCUCUGUGGAAGAGGAACGAGCUGAAGAAGCAGGCCCGGCUGUUCUAACCCAGUGCACUAUAAAUAUAUACAUACCUAUAAAUAUAUACAUAGAGAGAUCUCUAUAUUGCAGCUCUGUAUGAUUCUGGGGGCUGGACGGGCCACUGGGGCCCUCCCUGCACCCCUGAGAGUGAAUUGGAGUCUUGCAGA